GAUGAACGCUGGCGGCGUGCUUAACACAUGCAAGUCGAACGGAAAGGCCGAAGCUUGCUUCGGUACUCGAGUGGCGAACGGGUGAGUAACACGUGGGUGAUCUGCCCUGUACUUCGGGAUAAGCUUGGGAAACUGGGUCUAAUACCGGAUAUGACAAUCUCUUGGAUGGGGUUGUGGAAAGCUUUUGCGGUAUGGGAUGAGCUCGCGGCCUAUCAGCUUGUUGGUGGGGUAAUGGCCUACCAAGGCGUCGACGGGUAGCCGGCCUGAGAGGGGGUACGGCCACAUUGGGACUGAGAUACGGCCCAGACUCCUACGGGAGGCAGCAGUGGGGAAUAUUGCACAAUGGGCGCAAGCCUGAUGCAGCGACGCCGCGUGGGGGAUGACGGCCUUCGGGUUGUAAACUCCUUUCGCAACCGACGAAGCUUUUGUGACGGUAGGUUGAGAAGAAGCACCGGCUAACUACGUG
rnacentral:rRNA from 1 species